rnacentral:rRNA from 1 species
GAGUUUGAUCGUGGCUCAGGAUGAACGCUGGCGGCGUGCCUAAUACAUGCAAGUCGAGCGAACGGACGAGAAGCUUGCUUCUCUGAUGUUAGCGGCGGACGGGUGAGUAACACGUGGGUAACCUACCUAUAAGACUGGGAUAACUCCGGGAAACCGGGGCUAAUACCGGAUAACACAUGAAACCGCAUGGUUUCAUGAUGAAAGACGGUCUUGCUGUCACUUAUAGAUGGAUCCGCGCUGCAUUAGCUAGUUGGUAAGGUAACGGCUUACCAAGGCAACGAUGCAUAGCCGACCUGAGAGGGUGAUCGGCCACACUGGAACUGAGACACGGUCCAGACUCCUACGGGAGGCAGCAGUAGGGAAUCUUCCGCAAUGGGCGAAAGCCUGACGGAGCAACGCCGCGUGAGUGAUGAAGGUCUUCGGAUCGUAAAACUCUGUUAUUAGGGAAGAACAUAUGUGUAAGUAACUGUGCACAUCUUGACGGUACCUAAUCAGAAAGCCACGGCUAACUACG